GCCGGGUUGGCGAAAUGGUAUACGCGGGAGACUUAAAAUCUCUUGUUCUUAGAACAUAAGGGUUCAAAUCCCUUACCCGGCA
rnacentral:tRNA from 1 species